UCGUAAUCGACGUAAAACGGCGGUACGAUAUCGAAUGCUUAAUACAAUUAACGGUACGCAGGAAGACUGUCGUCGUCUUCGUCGUCACGUUUUAGCGAAAAUUAAAUUGAGCGCAAGUGAUUGUAUACGAUGCGUAGUGGCAAAAAUCACGUGCCCGUAUACGUCACAGCCAGAUCUCUGUCCGACGAUAAAUCUGCCGAGUGCCGAAUGACAUUAGUUUGGGCUACCGACUCGCAUUGUUUAAAGUAGAUACCUACCUACGCCACGGAGAUUCGAUACGUUUAAUAGUAGGCAUAUUAUAUCGACGGUGUUUUGU